rnacentral:tRNA from 1 species
GUCCAUAGAUGGGAAUCGAACCCACAGUGUUCCGCUUACCGGGAAGAUGCCAUGUCCACUAGGCUACCAAUAAA